GCAGCUGGCGGCCGGCCUGCGCGAGGCCGGGAGCGCGCGGCCCCAGGCGCUGCUGCCCCGCGGUUCUGCGCGCUCCGCCGCCCGCCCUUCCCGCACGGGGAGGUUUCGGAGGCUGCCAGCACGUGCCUGUGAAUGGGAAACCCCGCGCCGGGUGAUUGCCGAGGGCACCUCCGUGCGCCGGGCAGCGCGCCGCUCCGGGACAGCCCGCGGCCCGGUGUCAGGUUCAGUACGUGAGCGCUGCGGAAGUUCAGAGCCCGCACACAUCACGAGCACAGCACUACCAUCUGUGCAUCAACCAAAGGGAAGACUCUGCAUUUCAGUAUUUGGUGGUUCAGCUCAAUUGGGUUUAGUUUUAUUUUAUUUUUUUGUAAAUAAAAAAAUACUUUUAAAACAAUUCUUUGAAAUGAGAGGACUCAGUUUCAAGGAUUCUGUAGCCCACAGCGAGCCCUCCUGCUAUACAGGAACAGAAAGGGUCGCUACCAGCUAACCAGAGCAGGGUUAAAAAAGAAAAGAAAAAGUCACACACAUUUUGAAAAGUAUAACUCUGCAUUGCAUAGGAAGAGAACGCAGUGUGGUUUCCAGUGCAUAGUUAAGCACUAUUGUAUCUGACCACAUCUGCUGGCUUUUAAUGUAUUUCCUUGAAUAAUCUGUUCUGAAUAAU